GCCUAAACCAAGCAGGUGCAAUGACCAAAUCUGUGUUUAAAUAAGAUUAGACUGGCAGCCAAGGACAGGGUGAUUUAGCCUGCAGCAGAAUCUCCUGGAACACUUGUUAAAAAUACAGACUCCUGGGCCCUGCCUGGAUAACGUCAUUCACUAGGCCAGGGAGGGGCUUGAGAAGCUGCAUUUUAAACUCCUGCACCUGUCCCGCCCUCACCUCCACCCUCACGAUUCUGAUGCAUUGAUGUUGGACCUGGAUGAGAGGGAGGCGAAGCUGGAGGUCAGGAGGCACCUGGUUUAGGGCUCCACCCAGAAUGGCAGCCCUGUAAAUGCUGCUGGUCCUCUCCCUGGAGCGAGGCUUCACCCGGGGACGGGGCCCUGGGCCUGCAGUCGAGACCUCGUGGGGAUUAUGGACUCACAGCUCUUCAGGAGUGAGAAUUCAUUUAGGCCACCCGCCCAGCUCUGAUCUGCAAGCUGCCUCCUUGGUCCUCAUCUCCAUGCUGCCCAGGUCACACCCCAGCUUUCAGGCCAUCAUCCUUGCCCCUGGGGGAAGACGAAAGGUAAGAGCAGAAGCUCAGUGCUCAAGCUUUUAUCGGUCUGUGAGUGAAACUGAUGUUUUUAGCAGACAGCUGAAAUGUUUACUUUGAAAAAAGUAGAGACCCCUUGGCCGGGAGACAGUCAGGAAUGCAUGUCAUUGAAUCUGCAGGUGACCCGUAGUUACUUUGGCCCUACUUGAGUGUCCAAAGUGUUAAGGGGAGAAUGAGCCAGUUUAACAAAUAGCUCAUACCUGCUUGGGCUCUCCCUGCUGGUCCUCUGAGCGUGUGUGUUUGCAUCUCACACCCACAUACAAGCAUGGAAUGAGCGGCUUGUGUAGAAACCCUGCAACAAACAUCAAAUCUGUAGGUUACCAGGGAGUCCCCACUGGGUUCACUAGCAAAGCAGCUUCUGAAAAGAGUGUAUAUAGUAGGCACAUGCCUCUGAAAGCAGUGCGGCUAUUUAUUUUUUUAAUAGGGGAUUCUCACGUUACGAGAACAUCACAGAUUACUGAAUAAUUUAUUUAAUGGCAGAUUAUAUGGGCGUCACGCUUUGCCAAUGAGCUCAUCCCCAAAUGUCUAAAGGAGAUAAGGUGAGCAAAACUAGAGCUCAGGCUUGAGCGAGCUGUCUGUUUCUUUUCUUAGAUAUGCGUAACUGUUAGAGCCGUGUAUUUUACUUAAUAUUAUCUCAGCUGCGCUGUCAUGUAUAUAAUCGAGGCACCACUUUAUUGUUGACAUUUAACUGACUCGUAACAGUGCAUACAACACACAGCACUGGGAAAUAUAGAAUAGGUAAUGAAUGGCCUUGUCUGUGCUUGAUCUCAACAAAGGACUGUGAUAAAUAUAUGGGUAUGUUUGUUCUCUAUGAAAAUACAGGGAAACAAGAGGGAGCGCAGUUCAAUAAAAGAAUGUUAGAUUUGGGAAAUAGAGACAAGAAAAAAGAUUUGGGUUGGUAGCUUUCUGUGGACCUCUACUGUUACCUUUUCAAUGAUUUGGGGUAGAAAAACAAUCAGUUCCAAGUUUACAGAUCUUAGGUUUUUUGCCUUUAACUGUAUACAGUCUUUGGGUAAACAGAGGUACGUUGGAAAAUGGGCACAUGUUUCUGUCAAAUGAAAUUUUGAUGAAAAUAAAAAUUUAUUUAAAAAGAAAUUUAAAAUUUGACAACAGGAAGAUGGCAAAAGGCUUGGACAGGACAUCACAUGAGAAGAAAUUCAUGUAGCCAAUAACUGUGGCAAGAGAUGCUUUAUUUAAUUUUUUAAUUUUUUUAGUGUUCAGGGAAAUGCAAGUUAAACCUGUAAUGAGAUAUCACCAUACACCCACGCAACCAGUUACAAUUUUAAAGUUUGACAAUAACAAGGACUAAUGAGGACAGAGAGUGGGAAAUGCUGCUAGUGGGCGUUUUCAGUGGAAGCAGUGGUUUUGGAAAAUAGCUGCCAUUGCUGACUGAGGUUGAAGAUUCACACACCCUGUUUUCAACUGAAGAAACGCUGCUGUGGGAAAACGUCCUGGAGGUGGAUGCGUGUGCAUCCCGUGGACUGGGAUAUAUACAAGAAUGUUUAGAGAAGCGUUGUGCAUAAUAGCCCCAAGCUGGAAACAACCCAAAUGUCUGCCCGACAAAGAAAGGAUAAGGGAGCAUUAGAGCCACUGGUAACAGCAGGGAUGAAUUUCACACCCGUUAACGCUGAGCAAAAGAAGCAGGACAGGAAUCCGUAGAAUAAGUGUCCACUGAUGAAAAAGCUCAUGAUCCGGCAAAACUAAGUCUGCUUCGGGAUGCUUGGAGAGAGGGGAGAGCUAUAAAGGAAAGCAAGGAAAUCAUAAUAAAGGUCAGGAUGGUGGUUUCUUUUAGAGGAAGGGAAGGAUUGUGAUCACAAAGAACACUCGAGACUUCUGGGCACCGGAAAUGUUUUGUUUCUUGACCCUGCUGUGGUUUCAUGGGUUUUCACUUUAUAGUACUCACUAAACUGGAUGUGAAUGUUUAAUGCACUUUUAUGUACUUAUGUUAUAUUUCACACAUGCACGUGCACAUGCGUGCACGAAAGAGAUCAAGAUUUGCAAAAAAAAACUCCCUAAUUCAGUUUAGUUCCUUUGAAAGAUAAGCUUUAAGUAUUCAGUUCAGUUUCAUGAACAUUUAAAACAAUAAGCCAAAUCUUAUGCAUAGUUUCCCAUGAGAAUCCUAGAACGUGGAGCUGGAAAGACAGCCGGAGGAGAGGGGAGAGCGCUGGCCGCCAGAGCAGAGGCUCCUUGCCAGCCAGCCCUGACCCUCAAGGGCCGUUUCCCCGCGCUGUUCUCUGGGCCUCAAUCCUUAUCUGUAAAAGGGAUCAGACCUGAUUAGAACUCCUCUUAAGAGUCUCCUAGUGUAUUCUUGGGCGUUCUCUAUGGGAAUUUUUUUUUUUAAAUAAGAAAUUCCUUUCACUGUGAUGACAAUCUACAGAACACGCACAUUAUCCGGGUCCUCUGUGUGUCCACCUUAGAGCUGACAGCGCCAGCACUGCUCUGUGAUGAUGACCACACUGGGGCCCAGAUGUGCUGUUCCAGUUGUCUCAGGCCAGCCAGAUGAAAACACAGGGGGUGACCUUGAUGAGUACAGCCUGUAUUUGCCAAGUGACCUCAUGCAAGGCUCACAACCAGAGUUUUCACGGGAGUUUGAAGAGACCACAUUGUGUGAGAUCUGAGUCAGGGGACGAUGCCCAACCUCAAGAAGUGACUAGGUGCCCAGGACAAAGUGAGGGGCAGUUUACUCCGCAGAAUCACGCCAUCUGUCUCCUUAAAUUAAUGCUGCUAGCUUGAGAUUUAUUGGUUUGCUAUUUGGUUGUCAAAAUCGUGAUGUCGUUUUGACUUUAUAGUUGUAGAAGUUAUAAGCCUGCGGACAUACGCCCAGUUUCAUGUUUGUACAUAUUUAACUAACAAUCUUAUAAAAGUAAUUUGCAUCCACACUGAAAAUCCUCAAACAUUUUUUUUCUUGAGGAGGCCCCCACAUGUCAUUCGAAUUUGAGCCGCACUGAACCCCAAUGAUCUCCACUGAGCCUCCUGUGAUUCUGUUUCCGUUUUGGAAGUUAAGACCUUUCUAAAGCCAGUGGCAGGGUGUGUCCCUGGUGCAGCCAGGGACCCCAGCCCCUCCGUCUGUAGAUGACUUUGCCUCCAGGGGACAUUUGAUAGUGUCAUGACACAGGUUUGAUGGUCACACCUGGAGGUGGAGCCUAGUCAGCAGAGACCAGAGAUGUUGCUUCUCAGCCUACAGUGCAUAGGACAGCCCCCAUAACAAAGCACCCUCCAGGCCGUGACGCCAGUGGCGCCCAGGUUAGAACCCCUGGCUCCGCUCUCUACAGCUUUAACUUUUAAAGGAAGGAAGCCUUCUCUGUGUUUGUUCCCAGGUAAUCAGGAUAAGGCAGGAGUUUUCUUUUGUAAUUUACCUUUCUUGGCACCUGUUUCCUCCCACAUGGAAGAAACAGACAGGCGAGCCAAACAGUCCCUCAGGUGUGAGGUCAGUCACGUGACUGGCUUGCGGUAAGCGUGGAGGUUUGAUGGGCGCGUCACUUUACUGUUUCUGAGGCAGUCUUACUCCUGGUCCUCCUCUGUCAGGUCCUGGUCCACCAUCUACAUGGAGUGACUUUGCUUUGUAGGGACCUGGCCCCUGAUGUUUGUAGCUGGUCUCUAGACAGACAGUGCUCCCAAGUGAUUCCCAGAGGAGCCAAUAUCUCUUUCAGGAUAAACCCCUGGAAACAGAUGGGAGGAAUCUGGAUCAACCUCCAAGGCUGAUCUCGGGGCCCCGUGGUUGUGCUUGUCUCUGUGCUGUGAUGGUUUCCCGGCUCCUGUCUAUCCUCACGUAAUUCUCAUGUUUGUUCAGGCAGAUCCCGCUGGGUGUUCCUGGGUCCCAUCACCCCUCCCUCAUCAGAUAUUUAACUCCUUGUGAUUAGAGCCUUCUGUGCUGUUUUGCCACCGGCGCACCACCCGGCAGGCUGAGCGCAGUGGCCUGCCGGGUGGUGGCCACGCCGUCGGCGAGCUGGGAACAACACCACGUUAAAAAAGAGCCCAGGUGGGAUUAGGGGUGACAGCUUCUUGAAUGUCACCCACUGUCCUUUUCAGCCUCUCCUCUCGCUCACCUGCUGUCCUGGUGACCCGAAUCCAGUCACAACCAGCCUCUUGGUUUUGGAAGCAUUAGAAUGUAUAACAUUCUCCUGACGAGAAAACAGCCCUUCAUCUCCAGGACCAAAAAAGGGGAUGUGUGCUCACUCGGUGGGGCUGGCCGGCUGCCCGAGGUAGGGACAGGCAGCGGUUCUGAGCUCUCCUCCGUCUCCACCCCGGCUGCUCCCCUCCCCGCCGUGCUCACACAGGGCCGUGGAGACCGCUGUGGACAGACGGGCCUCCAUCCAUCCCUGACAACCUGUGAUGCAAAGCAGCUGACUGGAAGCCUCACAUCCUGCCUAAAACCACCACCCUUUCCUCCCUGCCCCUAGCCCUUAAAAAAAAGAAUCCUCUGUCUAAGGUGCUGUCUUCCAAAGGCACAGAGGUGGACCAUGCCUUUAGCACAGCGUGCGUGCCCUGGGGUUCAGCAGACAGGGCCCUUGUUUCCUGGCCUGGACUCAAGGGGUCUGCUCAGAUCCCACAGCUGAGAGGAGGCUGGGUUGCUGGGCACCACUGACAAGACUGAGGGGCGCAGGCGUCUGCGUUUGGCACACACAACCUGCAGACCUCCUCGCCCCUUAGGCUCUUUGGUUGACACCUGUCUCCUGAGUCCUGCACAGCUGAGGGCUUGCACGGCUCAAGGAGUCUCACGGCAAAAGAAAUGCAAACUAUGGCUGAGGAAGGAAGGAAGCAAAAUUGAAGGCCAGAGAAGCUGAGCGUGGGGUGUAAGGGGAUGAGGCUAGACCACAGAAAGGAAGGCCCAUCAUGGGGUCAGAGGUCAGAAGCAAGUAAUGUGGUAGGAGACAGGUUAGCGGAAAUGGGUCUGGUGGAGUCCAUGAGCAGUGCCAGGCUGGGGCCUCUCUUGUGGGACCUGGUGAUGUUUCAGGUCUGGAGAGGAGUGGAGAGGGAGGUAGACCUGACGGCGUAGGGAUGGUUAGGCCAGACUUGACAAUCCUUCUAUCCAUUUCAGCCAGAUUUUAAAUCUGUGAUGGUCAGACUUGGGGGAAAAGGAAGCAGUUGUGCUCUUUCCCCCACUUUACCCCAACACAGUGGUGACCUGGGGCCUAAUCCAGGACUCGGAAAGCCAGACCCUGUCCCAGCCAAAGCACACGCAAGCCCCCAGCUCGGUGGUGGGGAAUAGCUGCAUGUAGCCCCUCCACCUGGCUGACCCAGAACCUAACUUUAGCCUCCUAGGAGCGUAUGCAAAGUGGGUAACCCGCUGCUCCAGCCUCGCCCAGGGCCACUUCUGUUUUCCAUUCUGCACCUGUGGGGGUUUGCGUGUCUGAGAGCUCUCCCGGCCAGUUCUGAGGCUGAGAACAUCCUCGACUCACACAGGACUCCUUGUUCCCUUGGCAACAGUCAGCUCCUUCCUCCUCUCCCACCCCAGGAGCAAAGUCACACUUUCUGCACUUCUGCCCUGGCGGGUGCGCUCCGUGAAGGGGAGGGGCCUCACGGAGCAGGUCUGCCCCUGAGUUACAAGCAGGGUGAAGGGUGGUGAGCCGACUCGCCCCUGUGAGAUGGGAUCCUAUCAGUUCGGGAGCCUAUGGUCCAGCCUGCAGAGGGUCCAGGCUCCCAUCUUCCCCCUUGCCCGGCCGCUGGCCUUGUGUCCUGUCAUGGUUGAAUGGCUCCCCAAGCAGAGGUUGGAAAGAGAAAAUGAAAGGAGGAAAAUGGAGAAUUAAUAGCUCAUGUAAAAGGCCUGAUGGGGAGGGAAUUUAAAACCAAUUAACCAAUUAAGAUUUCGAUUAUCCCAUACGCUCCCCAGCCCCUUUAUGGCAGAUAGAAUUAAACGUUGGGUGUAGGCACAAAACACAUUUCACACUCAUUUACCAAUGAGUUCUCUGGUCUUCAGCUUGAAAGCUGGUGAGCCUUGGGGUUACCAUGCUCCACUGGGAACCAUGACACCAGGUGACACCACACCCCUGUGCACCCUGCAGGCUGAAGGACAGGAAGCCUUGCCUGUGAAGAGGGAGGUGGGCAGCAUCUGCCGGGAGUGUGUGUGAUGUCUCGUUGGCACCAGGGAAAGACCCAAGGAUGGGCUGUGGGAGUGGAGCGUGUGAAAGAGACAAAAAAAGUGUCUUUCAACCCCAUUGCCUCUCCCCCCAUUGUACUCUGGGAGAACACCAUGGUCCUGACGCCCGGCCCUGAGGGGUUACCCCGUUUCAGAGGGACAUCGAGGAACAGAGCUGAGGGGUGGGAAGAGGCCAAACGGUGGAAGCCUCGAGUGCCCCUCUGGCGAAAAGGGCAGCUCUAGCUGCCAGGAGUCUCAGGGCUGGAUCCUCUGCCGGGGCCUCGCUCCUUUCACCGCGUGUCUUCCUUCUCUUCACUGGGCUGUGUCCCUCGAGAGAAAACGCAAUGCUUGGCGAAGUAAGUCAGACAGAGACAGAUGGAUGCUGUAUGAUAUCCUUACACACGGAAUCUGAAACAGACAACGCACUAAUGGAUAUAACAACGACAACAAAAGGAACAAACUCCCAGACACGGAGAACAAACUCGUGGCUACCAGUGGGGAGGGGGCAAGAUAGGGGCAGGGGAUGAAGAGGCACCAGCUACUAUUAUAAUAUAAAUAAGCUACGAGGAUGUACCACACACCGUGGGGAAUUAGCCAAUAUUCUGUAAUAACUAUAGGUGGAGUGUAACCUCCAAAAAGUGGGAAUCACUAUAUUGUAUACCUGUAACUUACAUAAUAUUGUACAGCCACCGUACUUCAAUAAAAAAACAGAAAAAAAGUUAAGUAAAACGAAGGGUCAAGAUUUUUUAAAAAGAAGGAACAAAAUGCAAAGAUGGGCUAUGAGUUUCCUGAAAGAGUCUGUGGCUCUGUUAAAGUCAAGUGAAUUAAAGUCUGUGAAUGUAGAGGAAAUGUCAAAACAGGUGCGAAAGGAGGAAGUAAAUCUCCUCUUGAGUAAGUAACUGCUAAAUUAAGCUCUGUUCAUCCGUGGGGUGUAGGGUAGAAUGAUUGCCCCCCAUUUGAAAUCUGAUUCCUACCCUGCGCACAAUGGGCCAUCCAAGCCACUGGCCCUCCAGGAGCACCACCCCUGCUCUCUCUUAAGGGGUGACAGUUGGUGCCACAGACCUGAAACCACUCUACUAGCAGAAUUCACAUCACAGGCUGCGCUCCUACCCAGAAGACAAGUCUAUCCAGUUUUAUAGAACAAACACACAUACGCCUUUGGUAUACAGCUGGUGAUUAUCUGGGAACAUGGAACUACAACCCAGGUCACCCAUCCUGAGUGUCACACAAUAGAAGGAGAGCUCUAGCAGUGGGGGCCGCCGGGACCAGCAUGGGUGCCAUAAUUUACUGAACCGCCCUCCAAAUCAAGCUCAUGAUUUAAGCUAGCCCAUGACUUCGAGAAAUUGAUGUGUUCCCCUCCAAUAAACCACUGCUACCACCACAGCCUUCGUUCUCACCAUCUCUUGCUUUGCUGGUGCGAGGGCCUGUUGUCGCCACCUUCAACUGUCUUUCACCACGCGUAGGGCUGCCACCUCCAGUACUGAGCACCAGGAGAACCGCCAGACUGAACGGCUUCUCUGGCACAACUCAGAGAAAAGAAUUGGUGUUUUAGCUUUGUAUGGACCUGGGGUAUAGUUAGAGGAGGAGAGGGGAUGGGCUUGUCACUCCCCACUAAAAGGGAUUUCCCAGAGAGUCCUAAAUCAGCUGAAACACGUGGUGCAGCUGCUGUGGAAGACACCGAUUCAGGUGACAGCACCUGAGGGCAGCAGGUCUGGGUCUCCUGGUGUGGGGACUGAGGCACAGAUGUAGGUCUGCUUGUCAGAGAAAAGUGAAAAGGGCAAUCCAAGAAUAACAACAUGGAGGGGAGAAAAACCCAAGAAAUGUACCUUUGAAAUGACUGUUCCUCUUUGAAAACCAUAAAAGUAAGAUCCUACUGGGUCCCAAGGGGUGUGGCUUUGUCCAAGAUCCAAGGAUGUGGAGGAGCCGUGGGCUCUGCACAUGUGGAGAAGCCCAGGAAAGGGAUGUGGCAUUCUUACGUGGCAUUUUACAGCGGCUUCUGUCCACCCACCUGGUUGUACCUGAUGCUCACAGCAACGUCUGAAGUGGGCACGAAUGACUGUCUUCAUUUCACAGAUGAAAGCAUUGGAGUCCAAGAGAGGUUAAAUGACAUAUUGAAAGCCACACUUUCGACAUGGUAGGGCCUGUAUUAGAACCUGGGCGUUCGAACU